rnacentral:lncRNA from 1 species
GUUACCUGCCACAAUCGCCGAAGAUGACGGCAAAGGUGGUAAAGGCGGCAAAGGCGGUGGUGGUGGUGCGGCGCCCAGGGGAGGAGACGCUAAGGGGGGUGGCGGUGGUGGAAGUUCAGCCGCUGACGAGAGGAGCACUGCCGGCCCAACAGAAGUCGUACCAUCGACCAAAUGAAACAUUGCCGUCCAACUAUGAUGAACUGUUUGAGACACCUGCGCUAGGCCCCAUGCAUGGUUUAUAAAUAACUGUGCGCUUUCUGUUGCACUAUCUCACACUUCUGGAGACACCAUUAGAUGUUGCUAAUGACCAUUUUCAGACGAGGAAAACUGGAUCAAUAAAAGCGCAAUCAAGAAUUCAAAUGCAG